GGGUUGUGAGGUUAAGCGACUAAGCGUACACGGUGGAUGCCCUGGCAGUCAGAGGCGAUGAAGGACGUGCUAAUCUGCGAUAAGCGUCGGUAAGGUGAUAUGAACCGUUAUAACCGGCGAUUUCCGAAUGGGGAAACCCAGUGUGUUUCGACACACUAUCAUUAACUGAAUCCAUAGGUUAAUGAGGCGAACCGGGGGAACUGAAACAUCUAAGUACCCCGAGGAAAAGAAAUCAACCGAGAUUCCCCCAGUAGCGGCGAGCGAACGGGGAGCAGCCCAGAGCCUGAAUCAGUGUGUGUGUUAGUGGAAGCGUCUGGAAAGGCGCGCGAUACAGGGUGACAGCCCCGUACACAAAAAUGCACAUGCUGUGAGCUCGAUGAGUAGGGCGGGACACGUGGUAUCCUGUCUGAAUAUGGGGGGACCAUCCUCCAAGGCUAAAUACUCCUGACUGACCGAUAGUGAACCAGUACCGUGAGGGAAAGGCGAAAAGAACCCCGGCGAGGGGAGUGAAAAAGAACCUGAAACCGUGUACGUACAAGCAGUGGGAGCACAGAGCAAUCUGUGUGACUGCGUACCUUUUGUAUAAUGGGUCAGCGACUUAUAUUCUGUAGCAAGGUUAACCGAAUAGGGGAGCCGAAGGGAAACCGAGUCUUAACUGGGCGUUAAGUUGCAGGGUAUAGACCCGAAACCCGGUGAUCUAGCCAUGGGCAGGUUGAAGGUUGGGUAACACUAACUGGAGGACCGAACCGACUAAUGUUGAAAAAUUAGCGGAUGACUUGUGGCUGGGGGUGAAAGGCCAAUCAAACCGGGAGAUAGCUGGUUCUCCCCGAAAGCUAUUUAGGUAGCGCCUCGUGAAUUCAUCUCCGGGGGUAGAGCACUGUUUCGGCAAGGGGGUCAUCCCGACUUACCAACCCGAUGCAAACUGCGAAUACCGGAGAAUGUUAUCACGGGAGACACACGGCGGGUGCUAACGUCCGUCGUGAAGAGGGAAACAACCCAGACCGCCAGCUAAGGUCCCAAAGUCAUGGUUAAGUGGGAAACGAUGUGGGAAGGCCCAGACAGCCAGGAUGUUGGCUUAGAAGCAGCCAUCAUUUAAAGAAAGCGUAAUAGCUCACUGGUCGAGUCGGCCUGCGCGGAAGAUGUAACGGGGCUAAACCAUGCAC
rnacentral:rRNA from 1 species